CAGAGGGUGCGAGCGUUGUUCGGAAUUACUGGGCGUAAAGCGCGCGCAGGCGGUCCUUUAAGUCUACCCGUGAAAUGCCGGAGCUCAACUCCGUGCACGCCGGGGGAUACUGGGGGACUGGAGACAUGUAGAGGCAAGCGGAAUUCCGGGUGUAGCGGUGGAAUGCGUAGAUGUCCGGAAGAACACCUGAGGCGAAGGCGGCUUGCUGGGCAUGAUCUGACGCUGAGGCGCGAAAGCGUGGGGAGCAAACAGGAUUAGAUACCCUGGUAGUCCACGCCGUAAACGAUGGGCACUAGACGCGGGUGGGAUCGACCCCUUCCGUGUCGCAGCUAACGCGAUAAGUGCCCCGCCUGGGGAGUACGGCCGCAAGGCUG
rnacentral:rRNA from 1 species